rnacentral:rRNA from 1 species
AGAGUUUGAUCCUGGCUCAGAUUGAACGCUGGCGGCAUGCCUUACACAUGCAAGUCGAACGGCAGCACGGGAGCAAUCCUGGUGGCGAGUGGCGAACGGGUGAGUAAUACAUCGGAACGUGCCUAGUAGUGGGGGAUAGCCCGGCGAAAGCCGGAUUAAUACCGCACACGACCUACGGGUGAAAGCGGGGGACCGCAAGGCCUCGCGCUAUUGGAGCGGCCGAUGUCAGAUUAGCUAGUUGGUGGGGUAAAGGCCCACCAAGGCGACGAUCUGUAGCUGGUCUGAGAGGACGACCAGCCACACUGGGACUGAGACACGGCCCAGACUCCUACGGGAGGCAGCAGUGGGGAAUUUUGGACAAUGGGCGCAAGCCUGAUCCAGCCAUGCCGCGUGCGGGAAGAAGGCCUUCGGGCUGUAAACCGCUUUUGUCAGGGAAGAAACGGUCUGCACUAACACUGCGGACUAAUGACGGUACCUGAAGAAUAAGCACCGGCUAACUACGUGCCAGCAGCCGCGGUAAUACGUAGGGUGCAAGCGUUAAUCGGAAUUACUGGGCGUAAAGCGUGCGCAGGCGGCUUUGCAAGACAGAUGUGAAAUCCCUGGGCUCAACCUGGAACUGCAUUUGUGACUGCAUGGCUAGAGUGCGGCAGAGGGGGAUGGAAUUCCGCGUGUAGCAGUGAAAUGCGUAGAUAUGCGGAGGAACACCGAUGGCGAAGGCAAUCCCCUGGGCCUGCACUGACGCUCAUGCACGAAAGCGUGGGGAGCAGACAGGAUUAGAUACCCUGGUAGUCCACGCCCUAAACGAUGUCAACUGGUUGUUGGACGGCUUGCUGUUCAGUAACGAAGCUAACGCGUGAAGUUGACCGCCUGGGGAGUACGGCCGCAAGGUUGAAACUCAAAGGAAUUGACGGGGACCCGCACAAGCGGUGGAUGAUGUGGUUUAAUUCGAUGCAACGCGAAAAACCUUACCUACCCUUGACAUGCCAGGAACUUGCCAGAGAUGGCUUGGUGCUCGAAAGAGAACCUGGGCACAGGUGCUGCAUGGCCGUCGUCAGCUCGUGUCGUGAGAUGUUGGGUUAAGUCCCGCAGCGAGCGCAACCCUUAUCAUUAGUUGCUACGCAAGGGCACUCUAAUGAGACUGCCGGUGACAAACCGGAGGAAGGUGGGGAUGACGUCAGGUCAUCAUGGCCCUUAUGGGUAGGGCUACACACGUCAUACAAUGGCCGGUACAGAGGGCUGCCAACCCGCGAGGGGGAGCUAAUCUCAGAAAACCGGUCGUAGUCCGGAUCGCAGUCUGCAACUCGACUGCGUGAAGUCGGAAUCGCUAGUAAUCGCGGAUCAGCUUGCCGCGGUGAAUACGUUCCCGGGUCUUGUACACACCGCCCGUCACACCAUGGGAGCGGGUUCUGCCAGAAGUAGUUAGCCUAACCGCAAGGAGGGCGAUUACCACGGCAGGGUUCGUGACUGGGGUGAAGUCGUAACAAGGUA